rnacentral:rRNA from 1 species
UACAGAGGUCCCGAGCGUUGUUCGGAUUCAUUGGGCGUAAAGGGUGCGUAGGUGGCGCCGUAAGUCAGGUGUGAAAUUUCGGAGCUCAACUCCGAAACUGCAUUUGAUACUGCGGUGCUUGAGGACUGGAGAGGAGACUGGAAUUCACGGUGUAGCAGUGAAAUGCGUAGAUAUCGUGAGGAAGACCAGUGGCGAAGGCGGGUCUCUGGACAGUACCUGACACUGAGGCACGAAGGCCAGGGGAGCAAACGGG